GUCUGGUCAUUUUUCUCAAGAAUCCUACCAUCACUUGAGAACAGUGACUUCUUCACGUCAACGCAGAGACGACAAGCUCGCUCGACAACAUCAACAGCAGCUUCGAGCUCGCUAUAAUACUUAGCUUUCUGCUCCGCGAACGGAAGGCUCAAACUUGACCUAACGGCGACGAACCGCCGGCGAAGUGGCGUACGGAAGGGAAGUUGAAGAUGAGCUGCAGGAUAGCGGGAGGCGGAGUAACGUAGAAGAUCCAUAAAGGCUAUGAAAUUGGAGUCAAGACAGGUAGUUGUUAGUUGUUAUUCCUGGAAUGUACAACUAUUUUU
rnacentral:misc_RNA from 1 species